AUUAUGAUUAUGCUUAUCUAAAUGCUGAUAUACUAAACUUUUGAAUUUUUUGGGUCUACGAAAGCGGUAGAGAUGUUCUUGAUUUCUUCUGAAAUACUCUCGUCCCGUCUGUCCCACAUAUUGAAUACCACACUUAGGUUGGGUUCAAGUUACCACAUAUAUUAGGUUUUGAGUUUUUCAGGUAAUAUCACAGGAAAAGGAGAGCGAAAAGGUUCUCCCGUUCACUGUUGACCUUAUAGUAUUUUGAGAAGUUAAUCUAAAACAGGUUAGUCAUUUUUUGGCAUUGCACGGGAAAAUUUGUGGAUAUCCACGUGCAUUUUUGUUAAAUAAUCUGGCUGUAGUGGCAUUACCAAUACGUUUAUUUAUGCACGUAGAUAACCUAGAAGUUGUGUUGUUGAUAAUAUUUUUUCCAUUCCGUAAAAUCAUGAUUAUUUAAUAGGGGUAUAGGAUCAAUACAAAAGACCGGAGGUUGUAACAUUGAAUGAGGAUCACAGUUACGGAAUAGGGAGUAAUUAGGAGUGCAGUAAAGAACUCUUACAAAAACUGUAAUAAAAGGCCCGACGUAUGGACUUAAAUAUAACAAAACUGACAUGUAUAACAAACACAGGGCAAAAACAGUGGUUGUAAGAAAUCGAAUAAAAACCAUAGCAGGGGGCAAUAAUAAAAAAUAGCAGGCGUGGAUGAGUAUCAAUACAUCCCAACAUCGUAAACAAUAAAGAUAUAAACAUGUGAAAGCUCUCUCACAGGCAAACAACCAAUAACUGAAAUAUAUAAGGGCAUACACUACAAGCACGGGGACACAUUCUACUGCAUCCACACAGCA
rnacentral:lncRNA from 1 species